GGGCUUAUGAUGAUAACAUAAUUAUCUUAGCGGAUUUCAGUGAGAUAAAUUUAUUUAUCAAUGAUCUGAUUGUUACACACACUGAGGCCU